rnacentral:rRNA from 1 species
ACAGCAGCAGCCGCGGGAAUACGAAGGGUGCAAGCGUUACUCGGAAUUACUGGGCGUAAAGCGUGCGUAGGUGGUGGUUUAAGUCCGUUGUGAAAGCCCUGGGCUCAACCUGGGAAUUGCAGUGGAUACUGGGUCACUAGAGUGUGGUAGAGGAUAGUGGAAUUUCCGGUGUAGCAGUGAAAUGCGUAGAGAUCGGAAGGAACAUCUGUGGCGAAGGCGACUAUCUGGGCCAACACUGACACUGAGGCACGAAAGCGUGGGGAGCAAACAGGAUUAGAUACCCCGGUAGUCCCUGUCUCUUAUAC